rnacentral:rRNA from 1 species
CCGCACGCGCGCUACACUGAUGUAUCCAACGAGUAUAUAGCCUUGGCCGACAGGCCCGGGUAAUCUUGGGAAAUUUCAUCGUGAUGGGGAUAGAUCAUUGCAAUUGUUGGUCUUCAACGAGGAAUGCCUAGUAAGCGCGAGUCAUCAGCUCGCGUUGACUACGU